rnacentral:tRNA from 1 species
GUGGUCAUAGCUUAGCUGGUUCAAAGCGCCAGAUUGUGGAUCUGGAGAUCGCGAGUUCAAAUCUCGUUGGCCACCCCA